rnacentral:rRNA from 1 species
GGCUUAGGACGAACGCUGGCGGCGUGCCUAAUACAUGCAAGUCGAACGGUCUUUCUAUGGAAGCUUGCUUCCACUGAGAAGAUAGUGGCGAACGGGUGAGUAACACGUGGGUAACCUGCCCAUAAGAGGGGGGAUAACAUCCGGAAACGGGUGCUAAUACCGCAUAGUUUCUUGAUCGCAUGAUCGGGAAAGGAAAGACGGCCUUUGUGCUGUCGCUUAUGGAUGGACCCGCGGCGUAUUAGUUAGUUGGUGAGGUAACGGCUCACCAAGACGAUGAUACGUAGCCGACCUGAGAGGGUGAUCGGCCACAUUGGGACUGAGACACGGCCCAAACUCCUACGGGAGGCAGCAGUAGGGAAUCUUCCGCAAUGGACGAAAGUCUGACGGAGCAACGCCGCGUGAGUGAAGAAAGGUUUUCGGAUCGUAAAACUCUGUUGUCAGAGAAGAACAAGUUGGAGAGUAACUGCUCCAGCCUUGACGGUAUCUGACCAGAAAGCCACGGCUAACUACGUGCCAGCAGCGGC